GUUUAAAGAUGGUUCUGCUAUCACUCUUGGGAUGGACCUGCGGUGCAUUAGCUAGUUGGUAGGGGUAACGGGCCUACCCAAGGCGAUGAUGCAUAGCCCGAGUUGAGAGACUGAUCGGGCCACAUUGGGACUGAGACACGGCCAAAACUCCUACGGGAGGCAGCAGUAGGGAAUCUUCCACAAUGGACGCAAGUCUGAUGGAGCAACGCCGCGUGAGUGAAGAAGGGUUUCGGCUCGUAAAGCUCUGUUGUUGGUGAAAAAGGACAGGGGUAGUAACUGACCUUUGUUUGACGGUAAUCAAUUAGAAGUCACGGCUAACUACGUGCCAGCAGCCGCGGUAAU
rnacentral:rRNA from 1 species